AUUGAACGCUGGCGGCAGGCCUAACACAUGCAAGUCGAGCGGAUGAGAAAAGCUUGCUUUUUGAAUCAGCGGCGGACGGGUGAGUAAUGACUAGGAAUCUGCCUGUUAGUGGGGGAUAACUCGGGGAAACUCGGGCUAAUACCGCAUACGUCCUACGGGAGAAAGCGGGGGAUCUUCGGACCUCACGCUAACAGAUGAGACUAGGUCGGAUUAGCUAGUAGGUGAGGUAAUGGCUCACCUAGGCGACGAUCCGUAACUGGUCUGAGAGGAUGAUCAGUCACACUGGAACUGAGACACGGUCCAGACUCCUACGGGAGGCAGCAGUAGGGAAUAUUGGACAAUGGGCGAAAGCCUGAUCCAGCCAUGCCGCGUGUGUGAAGAAGGUCUUCGGAUUGUAAAGCACUUUAAGUUGGGAGGAAGGGUAUUCACCUAAUACGUGGGUACUUUGACGUUACCAACAGAAUAAGCACCGGCUAACUCUGUGCCAGCAGCCGCCGUAAGAC
rnacentral:rRNA from 1 species